rnacentral:lncRNA from 1 species
UGAGGUUUUCUGAUGAGAGGAGCAUGAAGGGCUCCGCCUGCUCCGUGCAUGCUCCUCUUAUAAGCCAUGUGCAGCUCUGUGAGUGCAGCCUCUCAGCAGAGACCAAGCAUUGCUGCAUCAAACACACGCUGUGAUGGAUGAGGACUUUGACCGUAGGAUGGAGAUGAGAAGACAGAGGAGGGAGCAGAUGCGCCUUGAAGCUGAAAAUAUCACUUUCACCAAUGAUGAGGAUGAGGAGGAGUCUCGAGAACGAAGGAGGAGAGCGAGAGAGGAGAGGAAGAAGAUGAGAGAACAGGAAGAAGCUGUGAUUGACACCAACAGCGUCACAAUGGAUGAAACUUCUGAGGAGGGCUCAGCCGAAGCACAGGAUGACCAGGAUCUGCUGCAGCGCCUGGAGAAGAGAGAGGAGCGUCGGCAGAUGAGGAUGAAGGAAGCCAUGGAGAGACAGAGGGAGCUGGACCCGACCUUCGCAACCACCAAUGGCACAGAGUAUGAGAAUGUCUGUGAGGAGGACAAAAAACAUGAGGAGGAAGAGAUAAACAAGGAGGUGUGUGAGGACAAGAAAGUGGAGACCGUCUGUGAGGAGGACGACAAGGACGUCUGUGAGGAAGACGUAAAGGACGUCUGUGAGGAAGACGUAAAGGACGUCUGUGAGGAAGACGUAAAGGACGUCUGUGAGGAAGACGUAAAGGACGUCUGUGAGGAAGACGUAAAGGACGUCUGUGAGGAAGACAUAAAGGACGUCUGUGAGGAGGAGGAAAGAACUGAAGAGUCACACAAAGAUAUGGAGGAGAAGAAAGGAGCAGAAGGCGAGAAGGAAGAGGAACAAGUAGAAAAGGAGGAGGAAGAGGAGAUGACCAAGGAAGACGAGCAGGAGAAAGAAAAGAGGAGGAAAAGAGAUGAAGAGGAGGAGUUAGAAAAGGAGAGGAAAAGAGAAGAGCAGAGAAAGACGGAAGAAGAAGAAGAGGAGCAAAAGAGGAAGGAAGAGGAGGAAGAAAGGAUGAAAAUAGAGAAGGAAGAGAGGAAGAAGGAAGAAGAGGAAAAGAGAAAAGAAGAAGAAAGACUGAAAAGAGAAGAAGAGGUGAAAAAGAGGGAAGAAGAAGAACGUCUUGAAAAGGAAGCAGAGGAAAGGAAGAAGAGAGAGGAAGAUGAAAUGAAGAAGAGAGAAGAGGAGGAGAGAGAAAGGAAAGAGAUGCAGGAGAAAAAGAGACGAGAAGAAGAAGAGAGGCUGAAGAAAGAGGAAGAAGAGAGACGAAAGAAGGAAACAGAGGAAAAGAGGAAGAAAGAGGAAGAGGAGAAAAGGAGAAAAGAAGUGGAAGAGAGGAAGAAGAAGGAGGAAGAAGAGAAGAAAAGGAAGGAGGAAGAGAGGAAGAGGAAAGAGGAAGAGGAGAAGAAAAGGAAGGAGGAAGAAAAGAAGAGGAAGGAAGAAGAGGAGAAGAACAGGAAGGAGGAAGAAAAGAAGAGGAAGGAGGAAGAGGAGAAGAACAGCAAGGAGGAAGAAAAGAAGAGGAAAGAGGAAGAUGAAAAGAAGAGGAAGAGGCAGGCAGAUGCAAAGAAGAAAGAGGAGGUAACAAAUUUUAUAAUGAUUAAAUACAAUAAACACAAUAAACAAACAAACAAAGAACAAGAAUAUUCCCUUGCUUUAAUUUCAAGGAGGAGAAGUUAA